rnacentral:rRNA from 1 species
GAACCUCUGACGGAAGCGAAACAGAAAACCUACCCUUCCCUCCCGGCGAAACUCGCGAAUCGGCUCCAUUAAAACAGCUACACUUAUUUCGGCGGUCACUCUUACAUGGAUACCCCGCGGAAAUGCUAGAGCUAAUACAUGCGCUCCUACCCAACUUAACAGAAGGCGUUCGCGGUUAUUAGUUACAGAACUAGCCCAGGCUUGCCUGGUUACUCCGGUGACUCAUGAUAAUGGAAUUAGUCUAUGGCGUCUGCUGACGAUAAACCUUCAAGCUUCUGACCUAUCAGCUUCCGACGGUAGGGUAUUGGCCUACCGCGGCUUUGACGGGUAACGGAGAAUUAGGGUUGAUUCCGGAGAGGGAGCCUGAGAAAUAGCUACCACAUCUAAGGAAGGCAGCAGGCGCGCACAUUACCCCAUCCCCGACACCGGGAGGUAGCGACAAGAAAUAACAAUACCGGGCAUCCAUGUCUUGCAAUUGGAAUCGAGUACAACUUAAAUCUCUUUGUGAGUACCAAUUGGAGGGCAAGUCUCGUGCCAGCAGCCGCGGCCAUUCCAGCUCCCCUAGCAUAUUCCACA